GAGGAGCGGGCGGGCUGGCCAGCGUUGUCAGCCCGGGCCGGAGCAGAAGCUGGAGCUCCCCGAGCCCAAUGAGUCACCAACACGUGGAGUUAGUCUCGCAGACUAGGAGAGAAGCCCCGACGGACGGAAAGGAGCUGGGGCGAAGAGGAGAAAAACUGAUCCACCCACCAGCCCAUCCCCAAACUUUCGAGGGAUCUUUUCUCCUUCCCCCUACCCCCACUAGAUCUUCAUCUUCUCCCUUCCUCAACACCAGUCUGGGCUCGGCCCGGUCACCCCAGGGGAGGAGGUGCCUAACGUGCCCUCCCAGAAGCAGGGCGGAGGCGCCCCUCGGGGACCCUGAGAGCUUCGAGGACUUCUAGGUUGCUGCAGAGGGUGCGAGCCGCGGUACUAGACAACGGCGGGGAGACGGGCUGCGCCCCCUGCUCUCCUUUCCCCCUCCCGCGUAGGCACCUCCCAGCGGAGCUUGACUGUCAGUCUACUGGGUUCACCAGCCAGCGUGAGAGGAGCCCCGGUCAGACGGGACGGGACCGAAGUAGUCAGCGCCGGAGCCAAGGGCAGGUAACAGGGACGUACGGACCACGGUGAAUGGAGCCCAAGGCCAUAGACCGGAGCUUCCUCAUCCCCACCUCCCCGUAAUCUGUGCCUUCAUUGUGGAGCAUCCUCUAGGAGCGGGACAGCCAUCUCCAAGAGAACCAGCUUAGGCUGCAACCUGUGGAAGAAGCUUCAGAGUUUCCAAGUACAACGGUCUUUUGAGUGGGACCAAAAGAAGGGUCACAUAAUACUAAAGAUAUUUGUGAUGGUCAAGACUUCAGGACGCUGGUCCAUCUGGUGACCAAUGAUGACUUUGGAGGCCUGAUGGUGAGGACAAGUCUACACCCAAGGAAUGAGAUGCAGAUCUGGGAGCAUAUAGAAAAAAGAGAUUAUGCCUACAUGCAGAAAAAGGACCACUUGUAUGGAAGAGUUCACCUAUGAGAAGACACUCAUACCUGCAGAGCCUUCUAUUUGACCUUUGGACAGCUCCCAAUAUUGGGAAGUCAUUCUUCAGACCAAGCCAGAAUUUGCUUCUUUGCAAUGCUGACCCCUCCCUCCUGCCUUCCGGAGCCAAAAGGAAUAGAGCAAUUACAUGCCUUUUUCCAGAUGAGGAAGCCAAGUGACUUUCCUAAGGUCACAUAUGUAAGAAUUGGCAGAGGUGACAUCUGAACCUAGGUGCUGGGACUCCCAAUGUGACACUACAACAGAUGGCUCUCAUAUCCAUCUCCCUUCACCAAAGUCUUCUCUUCUCCAUCUAAGUAUUUCUAUUUCUUUCAACGAAUCCAUCUCAAGACCCUUGGCCAUCCUGAUUGUCCUUUUUUGGACACUCUCUGGUUAUCAAUUCUCAUCCUAAAAUGUGAUGUGCCUCAGAUACUUACCAGCUGUGUGACCCUGGACGAGUUACUUAACCCUGUUUGCCUCAGUUUCCUCAUCUGUAA